AACAAACACUCAAAACUGCCUUAAAAACACUUUCUGCGCAGUUUUUGACACCAAGGAAGAAUUUGGACGAAAAUUGGUUAUAACUUGACUCAAGACACUUAAAAACACAAACUAAAUUGAUUUCUAACUAAUAUGACUCAACAAAGUAAAGGGGGAUUGAUUUUGGACGAAUUUAAAAACAAAACAAGUAAACUAAACUAAACAGAUUUUAAAAUGAAAUUGGUUAAAGUGAAUGGAUGGAAGGCUAGCUAAGGGGUUCUUCUCCACACAUGUCACACUUGCAUACAAAACGAUUUCCAAUUGCUUCUCAAUAAACCAUGAAUUCUCAACGCCCCAAGUUAAUUAGGUCCGCUUAAAUUAACCCUUAGAUUUUCCUUAAGUUAUUGAAUUGGAUGAAUUACAUACGACAACCCAAAGCAUUCCCCACAAGUUCCCUACAUGAAAGCGCAUAAUAGAGACACAUGCAAGAAUCAUUAAGUUCUAUGAAAACCAUAAGCAUUGACGAGGCACUUGUUACUAUGAAUUGCAUGAAACUUAUGCCAAGAAUUUACUUAACACGAUUGUGAUCAACAACCUUUACUACUUGUGAAUAUAAGUUCAUAACAAUUAAUUGAAAUUCCCUUAUAUCCUAGCAUCAAAUUCAUGCAUGUAAACGAAGCAGGCCCUCUUAACCAACAUACACAAACCAGUUUUAAUUCAUAUAGAUAAGUAAAUUGAAUUCACAACUUAUGAAAUGCAAUUAGAACUAAUCAAAUCAUAUAGCAAGCAUAAACAUGGUUUUGAAUCCCCCCUAGCCAAGGGGGGGUUUAGUUCCUCAUAUGCACAAAGCAAAGAUAAAUAAGUUUAAACAUUGAAAUCCAAAGAAAGAAAACACCUAGAUACUCCAACUUGGACAGCAAGUGCAUCCACGAAGUUCCUUCCUUUCUCCUUGCUGCGGCACAAAGGUUGUAGACAGGUUUUGGGGUUAUGAAUGGUAUAGAAUGGAUGGGGGAUGUGUGGUGGUGUCUAGGAUUGAUGGGUGGUGCGGCUAGGGAUGAUUUUGGGCAGAAAUUAUGGAAUAUGGUGGUGGAAAGGUGCGGCAGAAAGCAAGGGAUGAUUUCUGGCAUGAAUUGAUGUGUAUGAGAGGUGGUAAUUCGGCCAAAGGGUUAAUAUGAGUAUAUAUAGGCACUUAAAACCCUAAGGGAAUCAGAUAUGGAUUUCUAGAAUCCAAAUCCACAAGGAAAAAGGCUAAGAAAUCAGAAUCCUCAAGGGAAAAGGGCAAGGAGGUGCGGCUGGAGAGGGAAUGAAGGAUAAGGCUUCUAAAAAGCCUUGCAAGGCAAGGAAAAUAGGUCAUCUAGAAGGAAUUGGUGCGGCACCUUAUGGGGAGUGUUCUAGAACCUUCUUUUGUCUCAAAAAAUGCUUAGGAAACCUUCAAAAUAUCUGGAACUUAAGGCCAUCUAGGUUUAGGAAAGUUCAACCCAAAAUAGGAAACUUUUAGGCUUAACUUUCCUACUUCAAGUAGGAAACCUUGUUUGAGUAAGAAUCUUCAUUCUUCUAGGAAUCCAUCUUCAACUAGGAAUCCCUCGUUGAUUAGGAAUCCUUCUUCAAUUAGAACUCCUUCGUUGAUUAGGAAUCCUUCUUGGACUAGGAAUCCUCAAAUCUUCAAUUUCGUCUAAACCUUUUGUUCCAAGCAUGUGCUAUUCACUCUAAGCUCACUUUUGCUCCAAAAAGCUCCAAUUUGCAUCAUUUUGUAUAAUAUGCCUUUAAAACCUGAAAACACAUGAAAAUAGCUUAAAAGACUACUUUAACUAAGAAAACAUAACGAAAAUGCAUAAGAACUAGCUAACUAAGGCGCAUAAGUAUGCUCCUAUCACAACCAAGCAAAGAAUAAUGAGAUCAUGCAAUGACUUUAGAAAACAAUGAUGCAUAGAUUAUUAACUUUCCAAAUAAACGUUUAGGCUCAAGUCUCAUAAGGUUGUAGCGUACAUUUGAGUUCCUUCUUUCAAGCAUGUUACAAAA
rnacentral:lncRNA from 1 species